rnacentral:rRNA from 1 species
CAGCCGCCGCGGGAAUACAGAGGGUGCGAGCGUUAAUCGGAUUUACUGGGCGUAAAGCGUGCGUAGGCGGCUUCUUAAGUCGGAUGUGAAAUCCCUGAGCUUAACUUAGGAAUUGCAUUCGAUACUGGGAAGCUAGAGUAUGGGAGAGGAUGGUAGAAUUCCAGGUGUAGCGGUGAAAUGCGUAGAGAUCUGGAGGAAUACCAAUGGCGAAGGCAGCCAUCUGGCCUAAUACUGACGCUGAGGUACGAAAGCAUGGGGAGCAAACAGGAUUAGAUACCCCUGUAGUCCCUGUCUCUUAUAA